rnacentral:rRNA from 1 species
UACAGAGGUGGCAAGCGUUGUUCGGAAUUACUGGGCGUAAAGGGCGCGUAGGCGGCCUGUUGCGUCCGCUGUGAAAACUCGGGGCUUAACCCCGAGCCUGCAGUGGAUACGGGCAGACUAGAGGUAGGUAGGGGAGAAUGGAAUUCCCGGUGUAGCGGUGAAAUGCGCAGAUAUCGGGAGGAACACCGGUGGCGAAGGCGGUUCUCUGGGCCUUACCUGACGCUGAGGAGCGAAAGCGUGGGGAGCGAACAGG